rnacentral:rRNA from 1 species
CCCUUAGAUGUUCUGGGCCGCACGCGCGCUACACUGAUACGUGCAACAAGUAUAUAACCUUGGCCGGGAGGCCUGGGUAAUCUUUGAACGCGUAUCGUGAUAGGGAUAGAUUAUUGCAAUUAUUAAUCUUGAACGAGGAAUUCCUAGUAAACGCAAGUCAUCAGCUUGCAUUGAUUACGUCCCUGCCCUUUGUACACACCGCCCGUCGCACCUACCGAUCGAAGGUAAUGAUGAGCCGUCAGGACCGCUGACUUGGCCUUCACGGGCCUUGUCAGUUGAAAUUUCUGCAAAUCCUUGCCUUUAGAGGAAGGUGAANUCGUAACA